rnacentral:rRNA from 1 species
UACGGAGGGUGCAAGCGUUAUCCGGAUUUACUGGGUUUAAAGGGUGCGCAGGCGGAUAUGUAAGUCAGUGGUGAAAUCUCCGGGCUUAACCCGGAAACUGCCGUUGAUACUAUAUAUCUUGAAUGCUGUGGAGGUAAGCAGAAUAUGUCAUGUAGCGGUGAAAUGCUUAGAUAUGACAUAGAAUACCUAUUGCGAAGGCAGCUUACUACGCAGAUAUUGACGCUCAUGCACGAAAGCGUGGGGAUCAAACGGG